AGUGAACGCUGGCGGUAGGCCUAACACAUGCAAGUCGAACGGCAGCACAGGAGAGCUUGCUCUCUAGGUGGCGAGUGGCGGACGGGUGAGGAAUACAUCGGAAUCUGCCCAGUCGUGGGGGAUAACGUAGGGAAACUUACGCUAAUACCGCAUGCGACCUUCGGGUGAAAGAGGGGGAUCGCAAGACCUCUCGCGAUUGGAUGAGCCGAUGUCGGAUUAGCUAGUUAGCGGGGUAAUGGCCCACCAAGGCGACGAUCCGUAGCCGGUCUGAGAGGAUGAUCAGCCACACUGGAACUGAGACACGGUCCAGACUCCUACGGGAGGCAGCAGUGGGGAAUAUUGGACAAUGGGCGCAAGCCUGAUCCAGCCAUACCGCGUGGGUGAAGAAGGCCUUCGGGUUGUAAAGCCCUUUUGUUGGGAAAGAAAUCUUUCAGGCUAAUACCCUGGGAGGAUGACGGUACCCAAAGAAUAAGCACCGGCUAACUUCGUG
rnacentral:rRNA from 1 species